GAUACUGAGGAGCAUCACCUUAGAGAUUACUUUGAAGAAUAUGGAAAAAUUGAUACUAUUGAAAUAAUUACUGAUAGGCAGUCUGGAAAAAAAAGAGGCUUUGGCUUUGUUACCUUUGAUGACCAUGAUCCUGUGGAUAAGAUUGUCUUGCAGAAAUAUCACACCAUAAAUGGUCACAAUGCAGAAGUUAGAAAGGCAUUGUCUAGACAAGAAAUGCAGGAAGUCCAAAGUUCUAGGAGUGGAAGAGGAGGAAACUUUGGUUUUGGAGAUUCUCGAGGUGGCGGUGGCAAUUUUGGACCAGGACCAGGAAGCAACUUUAGGGGGGGUUCUGAUGGAUAUGGAAGUGGACGUGGAUUUGGGGAUGGCUAUAAUGGGUAUGGAGGAGGACCUGGAGGUGGCAAUUUUGGAGGUAGCCCUGGUUAUGGAGGAGGAAGAGGAGGAUAUGGUGGUGGAGGACCUGGAUAUGGCAACCAGGGUGGGGGCUACGGAGGUGGUUAUGACAACUAUGGAGGAGGAAAUUAUGGAAGUGGAAAUUACAAUGAUUUUGGAAAUUAUAACCAGCAACCUUCUAACUACGGUCCAAUGAAGAGUGGAAACUUUGGUGGUAGCAGGAACAUGGGAGGACCAUAUGGUGGAGGGAACUAUGGUCCUGGAGGAAGUGGAGGAAGUGGGGGCUAUGGUGGAAGGAGCCGAUAUUGAGCUUCUUCCUACUUACCAUGGGCUUCACUGUAUAAAUAGGAGAGGAUGAGAGCCCAGAGGUAACAGAACAGCUUCAGGUUAUCGAAAUAACAAUGUUAAGGAAACUCUUAUCUCAGUCAUGCAUAAAUAUGCAGUGAUAUGGCAGAAGACACCAGAGCAGAUGCAGAGAGCCAUUUUGUGAAUGGAUUGGAUUAUUUAAUACCUUACUGUGGAGGAAGGAUUGUAAAAAAAAAUGCCUUUGAGACAGUUUCUUAGCUUUUUAAUUGUUGUUUCUUUCUAGUGGUCUUUGUAAGAGUGUAGAAGCAUUCCUUCUUUGAUAAUGUUAAAUUUGUAAGUUUCAGGUGACAUGUGAAACCUUUUUUAAGAUUUUUCUCAAAAAGUUUUGAAAAGCUAUUAGCCAGGAUCAUGGUGUAAUAAGACAUAACGUUUUUCCUUUAAAAAUUUAAGUGCGUGUGUAGAGUUAAGAAGCUGUUGUACAUUUAUGAUUUAAUAAAAUAAUUCUAAAGGAAAUUGUGUAAUUAUAGACUUUUUAUUUUAAAUAAGUUAAGGAGUGGGUAGUAUAAUUAAGGUCCAUUGCAAAGCUGUUGUUGUAUUUGUGUAAGAUAAAAAUGCUGGUCAGAUUUAAGUGUGUUGUCUGAAAUUCAUCAGGAAUAAAUUACCUAGUUAACUUAAGGGAUAUCUCUGCAAGGAGAAACACCUUUUUAGAUCUUUUAGAUGCUGCUUCUUCAAUGCAAGGAAAGGAAAUAACCCCAGCGAGGUACUCUUCAGGGACACAGGUCUAGUACAAGAGAACUCUUGACGACUAAGCUCAGCCAGUCUUAAAAAACUGUGCUGUAUCUACAAAGCUUUAACUACAGUAGUUGAUAAGAAUGCCAACGAGAGCUGAGGGUGUAGAGCAAAGUAGUUCUAAGCUUCAGUUAAACUUCUUUAGGUAAGAACUUAUUUACUUUUUCUUUCUUAAUUUUCCUCCCUUAAAAGAUAAACUAAUAAACUCUUCAAUGGUCUUUUCAGUAUAGUUCUUAUGUAGUUUAACAUAGCUUAUAAAUUGAGUUUAACAAUAAACUCAAGAAGAUAAUUUUAUAAACCCUGUUUUCCAAUCUGUCAUUUACUUAAAUUAUUUUGGUUGUUUUCCCUUUUUUUCCUUCUUUCUCACCCCCUCCCUCUCCAUGAAGAUUCAGGUGCUUAACAUAUCAUUUUUUUCCCUGCUGGAAUUUUAGCAUUGAUAUGAACCAUGGACAAGUAUAUUCUGCUGCCACAAAGACUGUAAAGUGCUUCAUUUCAACAGCUGAGGCAAGCCAAGUGAUCAUUAAUAAAGCUUUUCUUGCUUCCUUCAGUGGUGUUGGUAGUAAAAUGGUAGGUAAAAGUUAGGCUGCAAGUUCAAUAAAUGAGAUUUACCUAUCAUUCCACCCUUGUGUAUUCAUUCACCUAUCCUGGUUCAAGCAGUUUGAGUCAACUAGGCAUUUAAAGGCAUUGUGUUUAUUACUUUAUGGUUCCAACUUUACAUGCUUGUCAGGGAUGAGUCUGAUAGGUUAAGGACAGUAGAAAUUUCUGUGCAACAGCAGCAACAAAACCCUUUAUGUACCCUGUACUAAAUAAUUGGGUUAAAAUGUGGUAGUAAUUUUUGCCCAUUAUCCUGCCCUAAAAUGUUGUAGGUUGGCUAUUGAAAUUUCCUAAAACCGCCCGCCCUCUGAUUUCUAGGCUUUACUGCCUUUCCAGAAAUGUGAUAUUCAGGGCGUAUACACAUCAGUGAGUCUGCUUUAAUCCUAAAACCACCACUGAAGUUACUUAGGUUCUUUGGACAAACAUGAUAAACUUCUUCAGAUACUUUUUUUUUCCUUUGGCAGGAAGGUGUCUUGCUGCAGGUAACUAAUGAAGAAGUGGUCAACCACAGAGUCUUCAAGAAAUAAGAAAUUCUGUACCAUCUGAAAGUAGUUCUUGUUGGUGCCUUCAUUUAAGAAGCACUUUUAAGAUAAAAGGGAAUGUUUUCUGAUUAAAAACUUCAUUUAGUACAGGUUCUUAAUAAAAUUACAAAAAUGAGUGUUGAUUGUAAAGGUUAACAUCAGAUUAGCUAAGGAUAAUGUGUUAUGUUUUAAAUUAGGAUUUGUGAGUAGACAGAUAAGCUCUAUUUUAAAUACAAGUUUUAUAAAAUAAAUACUUUUGUAACCAAA
rnacentral:lncRNA from 1 species